rnacentral:lncRNA from 1 species
AGAUCGGAGGAUGUUUUUAAAAGGAAAAAUCAAAGCAUGUCUGUAGCUUCUGCAUGCCUGUAGUGGGACAAAGAGUCCUAACAGGCCUGGCUGAAGAUGCAGAAGCAGCUUCAAGCCCCAGUGACCAGGGACAGCCAGCACUGAUUCAGAGCCCAGUACCUUGGACUCCCAGUCUUCGACCACCUUGUUCCUCUCCUCGGAGGAGCCAGGCCCCUCCACCGCCGCCCUGCCAUCUCCCUCCUCCUCUUCCUGCGAGCCUCAGGCCUUUUCCCCAGGUCCGCCAGCGCUGCCUCCGCUGUUGCCUCCGCUCCCCGCAGCCUCGGCGCCCCCAGGCCCCGGCGCCUCCCGGCGCACAGGCCGCUACUCAGUCGUCGCCUCCUCCCCGGAGGCCGCCCCGCGUCUGGUCGACUGGCUCCCCGGUUGCCCUUCGACCAUCUCUCCCAGCACACGCGGGGAUGACAAGGAGCGGCCGCCGCCCGUCCUGGCACCGGCCGAGGGCCCGGAAAGGAGCCGCGCCCCGCGCCCCAGCACUGCGGGCAGGGAGGAGGGCACCGUGGACGCGGGUACAUCCCCGCCGCCCCGAGCCCGGCCCGCCGCUGCGGCGAGCUUGGAGGCCCACGUCGGGGACAUCCUGGUGGAGCUGCGGACCAUGAACGGCCACCUGGACAGCAUAGCGCGGGCCCUCACCAAACUGGCUUCGUCCCUGGGGCCCCAGCCUGAGCCCCUGCCAGAUGUUUCGGAUGCCAACUAAUGGAGCUCGGCGAGGCUGGGCCGCCCCGGGGCCGAGGGAUCGCUUGCACCAGGCAUCCCUGCCUGUCCCUCCCCAGCAGCGAAGCGCGCCCAGCGGAGGAGCGGUUGCUCUGCGCAGCUGCCUAGCGGAAAGCACGGCCCUAGCGUUUCAGCGUGAAACAGACCCGGUUGCGCCUCACACCCUCCUCCUCCGCUCUCUCACGGCGGCCCCUGCCCCGGCUUCCUGGCCCUUCACAUGCCCUUCUCUUGUCUUGAGCGUCUAGCAGAAAAAGUGCCUGGAAACGGCGGUGGCACCCUGCGAAGGAUGCUUAGAGAAACACUCUUUCACAUCCCAUUCCUGCGACUUCCGCGUGGCGUGGAGGGAGAGGAGCUCAAAGCAAGUCGCCAAAGCAGCAGCGAGGCCAGCUCCAGCGUUGGUGGGGCAUCCAUCUCUGGUGACGUUCACAAGUUUGUUUGUUUUUAAAAUCGUUUUUGGAAAAAUAUUUUUUUUUCCUCAUAAGCACAUUUCAAGAAGUUUGGAAAAUAGAGAAAUGAAACAAAAUCUGGUGUAUUUGUGGAAAAGGGGGGUAUUUAAGUCUUUCUUAUGAGUAAGAAAGUAUUUUGUGUAAUAAAAAAAAUGUAUAUCCACUUUCUGGGCGUUGGGCUCUCCCUACCACAUUUCUUCCUUUGCACGGCCCCUUUCUCUCUGUGCUUAGUUGCUUGUCCCAGCCCUCCUAUAGUCCUUGAGUUGUUGAACUUUUGUCAUACUUGUGAAGUAUAAGCUUCUUUUUAAAUUUAAUAUACUUUCUUUUUUGUUAAGAGACAGUCUUACUCUGUCACCCAGGCUGGAGUGCAGAGGCGCGAUCUCGGGUCACUGCAGCCUCUACCUCCCAGGCUCAAGUGAUCCUCCCAACACAGGCUCCUGAGUAGCUGGGACUACAGGCAUGAGUCACUGCACCUGACAAGAAUAAGCUUUUAAUGGUUCUUCUGAUUCUUUCCGUAACUCCCAGAUCUUCAUAAAUUUGAUAGACCCACUCUUCUCAUUUGGACUGAGUGGAAACCAAGUUCCAGAGCGACUGGGCAAUAAAUAUGGAGGAAACAGCAUCCCCAGCCUCUACUCACUGCCAGAAUGACCAGCUUCCCCAGUUGAAACAACCAAAAAAUGUUUCCAGACAUCGCCACUGUCCCCUGGUUGAGAUCCACUAACCUAUGUAGAAUUUCAAAAAUUUGGGAUGAUCCACACUCUCCAGAAUCUGGCUUCCCGUAGUGAGGCAGGGCUCUUCUCCUCUUCCUAUUAGAAUUUUAAUAAAGUGUGCUUCUUUGCUAGAAGCAAACAUGCUAUGCUGCUCUUUCUUCAGAAACAAACGAAAAUAUUCAUGCACGGUGGCUCACGCCUGUAAUCCCAGCACUUUGGGAGGCUGAAGCGGGUGGAUCACUUGAGGUCAGGAGUUCCAGGCCAGCCUGACCAACAUGGUGAAACUCUGUCUCUACUAAAAAUACAAAAUUAGCUGGGCAUGGUGGCACAUGCCUGUAAUCCCAACUACUCAGGAGGCUGGAGCAGGAAACUGGCUUGAACCCAGGAGUCGGAGGUCGCAGUGAGCUGAGAUCGUGCCAUUGUACUCCAGCCUGGGCAACAAGAGCAAAACUCUGUCUCAAAAAAAAAAAAAAAAAAAGAAACAAACGAAGGGUCUGAGACCACAUUGCACAAAAUAAAACCCUGUCUGGGAGCACUUAUAGGGCUCACAGCUGGCGUUCUGCGGCUGGUAGAGUUUGUGCACCUCUAGUGCCUCACAGACUUUGAUAAGCAGGAACUACGUGGAGAGCUAGUGAAAAUGCAGAUUCUGAUUCAGAAGUUCUGGAGUGGGGCCUGAGACUCAGCAUUUCUAGACAGCUCCAGGGAGACGCUGAUGCUACUGAUCCAAGACACACUGUGAGUAGCCAGAAAGUAAUGAGGGGUUUUCUGCUCUGGAAUUCCUGCUUAUUUGAGUUGCCACUGCUCCCCAGGAACUUCUGCUUGUCUUUGUACCCCACAGUGCCUAGAUUCCUCAACUCUAACCAAAGCUUUUGGUUUUUGUUUUUUUUUUUUGGCAGAGUGUUAGCUCUGGCCUCCUACUUCUAAAACUGUUCCAGCGAAGUUCAAUCUAAUUCAACAAACAUUUACUGAGUGCUAUAAUGCUGGUGCAUCGGGGGACACAAGAUGAAUAGGAUAAGGAGGAGAAUUGAUGGCCCAAAGUGAAUGUCCUGCCCUGUGAUCUGCCCUUUAGCGGAAGAAACAGCAAAACCGGCAUCAACUAAAGCAACUGGGAACAUCAAGUUUUUAUUCAUUUGUUGAUUUGAACAGUAUUUCAUUCUGAUUUUAACUGACUUCUUUUGCAUUAGAUUAAAAACAACAACAAAAGACUGAAAUCUUUCAAGAACAAAGAGGAGCUGGCCUAUAAAUCCUAAAUACAGAUGUAGUGAUUGAACCCAUCUAGGUAGCUUAUGAAUAUAAAUCUCACCCAAAGUUUCAUCCACACUUAAGAGAUAACCACUGUUAAUAUUUUGGCAACUACUCUUGGAAGUAUUUGUGUCUAAAUACAAAUACCUAUGCGUAUGCAAUUUUACUUAACUGUGAUCAUAGUAGGCCUGCUGUUCUGUAACCUGUUUUUUUUUAAUCUUGAUAAUAGAUGAUAGAAAUCUUUUCAUUUAAAAAGCAAUGUUAUAUAUGAAGUAAAAUUUGCUUAACCAUUUUUUUAUUUAUGCUUCCGAUUUUUCACUAUUACAUGCAAUGCUGUAAUGAAUCUAUCUGAGCAUACAUGUUUUUACUCUUCUGUAAUUAUGUUGUGUAAGUAAAUUCCUAGAGGUAUGAUUGCUGGGUCCAAGGGCAUACACUCCUAACUUCUUUCUUUAGGGCUGUUAUGGCUUCACCAAAGUUCAAAAAGGGGAAGUGAAUGAAUGGUAGGAGGAACACUGGGGUCUCGGGGUGGCUCCAUUUAAAAACUUUGUAAAAGGGAAAUAAAAACAAAGCUAUCUUCUGAAGAUUAAACUUUAAAAUCAGCACACAGCAGGCCAGAAGAGAGAUGUGCAAAACCAUGCUGAAGAGAUGAAUCAUGGUCACUCACAUGGUGUAUGAGUCCGGUCAGGAAACAGAAGCCCUCCUGGUUUUUCACGCUGAGGGGAUCUAAUUGAGGAAUCAGAAACUGGGUGAUGGAAGGACUGGAGGAACAGUGGCAGUCAGGUAAGGUUAUCCGAAGACUAGCGGCUGCAGGAAAGCGCCACCAGCUGUGGGCUGGAGGAGCCAAGGGGGAACGUCUCCUUGGAAACCAGAAUCGGUGUGAUUCCAAGCCAUGGCUGUAGAACUGAGCUGCUUCAGCAGGAAGCCAAGAGCAGCACUGCUAGGCCAAAGCCCCUGACACUGCAGCCACUGCCACUGCCACCCUUGGGUGUCAAUAGCACUGUCACAACUGCCUGAGACACUACCAGAGGCCAGCAGGGAGGAACUAUCCAGGCUUUUGGCAGUGCCUCCUCUUCACAGAACCUCACUGAAAGCCUGUUGGAGGGCGUCUGGGAAAUGCAGCAUGUGGAGGCUCACCCUGCUAUGCUAGAGCAUAGCAAAGAAGGCUGGGAACGCAGCUGACAGCGAGUAGGCAAAUGAUCCGUGCAAGUAGUACUGUGGGUCAAAGCAGUGGGAUAGCUAAAGAGAGCAACUGUCAGUCAGAGGAAGGGCAUCGCAGCCAUGGAGGCACUGAAGAUGGGGCGUCACAGAGUGACAUGGGCAGUGCUUAUGCCAGCAGAGGUGGGCUUGGCUCUCUGGAGCUAGCCACAGGAAGAACCCUGUGGUGACCGCCGCCCCUUGGCUCUCAGUCUAUGCCACGAGAACAUGCUGUGGGAGACUGGCCCACAGAAGUGGCUCUGCUGCAGAGCACAGACAGAUGGGGUUUCUGAACCUUCUUGGUGGACUGCUAGGCCCUGGGCAAGGGCAGGCUAACCAGUGUGCAUUGCCAUUCUGGGAGACAGGAAGCCAGCCUGCCCAUAAGGCAGAUAAGUCUUAAUAUUUUUGUGCUGCUAUAACAAAAUACCUGAGACUGGGCAAUUUAUAAACAACAGAAAUUUAUUUCCUCACAGUUCUGGGGGCUGGGAAGAUCGAGGAACCUGCAUGUUCAGUGUCUGGUAAGGACUUAGUCUCUCCUUCCAAGAUGACACCCCUUGUUGCAUCCUCACAUGGCAGAAGGUGAAAGGGCACAAGGAGAAACAUCUUGCCAAUUCCCUCUAGCCCAUUAUAAGGGCAGAGCCCUCAUGGCUUAAUCACUUCCCAGAAGGCCCCACCUCUUAAUACUAUCACAUGGAGUCUUAGGUUCCAAUAUAUGGAUUUUGGAGACACAGACGUUCUAAUCAUAGCCACAUACCUCCCAGGGACUGGCCCUUGGCCGUCUUCCUUUACCAAAAGGACAUCUGCACAAGUGUUUAUUGGGUUCCUAUCAGGUCCUGGCCUUGUGCUAUGUGCUCUACAUAUAGGAUCUCAUUUAUUCCUUUCAGUAACCCUGUGUGCAAGGUUAGGAGGUAGGGCCUAUCACUCCCAUUUCACUGAUCAGGAAACUGAGGCACAAAAAGGUCAAGUGACUUGCCCAUGGUCACAUAGCUGGUACCGAACGGAGACAGGAUCUGUUUGUCUCCAGGGCUCUGGCUGUACCACCACCUGGGGCUGCCUCUCCCGUUAGACUUCCUCUUGGUAGCAGGUCAAAGCCCUGGAACUGUUGAGCCGCCUUUGGCUAGUGGGUCUCCCGCCGGGUGGCAGCAAAGUUGCUCUCUGGAAGCACUAGGUCUCUGAAAAAUAAGAAAAUGCCAGGAAACUAGAGCAGAAAGCUGGAAAACAAGGAACCUUACCAAUACCCUCAUCCCCCAUCAGCCACAGCAUCAGUGUCGUGUGGGGAGGGAGAAAGGAGGUGCUGAAGGAGAGGACAAGGUGCAGGAAAGAGGAGGAGAGAAGCCGGUGGGCUGUCCAACGUGAUGGCUCUGAAGCACCAGUGGCUCCUAGGCCCUUUAAGGUCAAUGUGAUUAAUCACGUUCCAUGUACAAGGUGACUUGGCUGUUACUGUAUGUUAUCACCCUCCUCUCUCGUCCCCUUAGAUCAUCUGACUUCAACAACCAACUCUGCAUGAGAACUAGAAAAUGCAAGGAUUUCUAUAGGUCUCUAUGGUGACUGUAUUAGUAUCCCAAGGUCCAAGGGCAUUUGCUACCAAAUUAUCAUUAUUAUUAUUUUUUUUUAUAAUUGUGAAGCUUUUUUUUUUAUUAUACUUUAAGUUUUAGGGUACAUGUGCACCUUGUGCAGGUUAGUUACAUAUGUAUACAUGUGCCAUGCUGGUGCGCUACACCCACUAACUCGUCAUCUGGCAUUAGGUAUAUCUCCCAAUGCUAUCCCUCCCCCCUCCCCCCACCCCACCACAGUCCCCAGAGUAUGAUAUUCCCCUUCCUGUGUCCAUGUGAUCUCAAUGUUCAAUUCCCACCUAUGAGUGAGAAUAUGUGGUGUUUGGUUUUUUGUUCUUGCGAUAGUUUACUGAGAAUGAUGAUUUCCAAUUUCAUCCAUGUCCCUACAAAGGACAUGAACUCAUCAUUUUUUAUGGCUGCAUAGUAUUCCAUGGUGUAUAUGUGCCACAUUUUCUUAAUCCAGUCUAUCAUUGUUGGACAUCUGGGUUGGUUCCAAGUCUUUGCUGUUGUGAAUAAUGCCGCAAUAAACAUACAUGUGCAUGUGU